UACGUAGGGGGCAAGCGUUGUCCGGAUUUAUUGGGCGUAAAGAGCGUGUAGGCGGCCAGAUAGGUCCGUUGUGAAAACUCGAGGCUCAACCUCGAGACGCCGAUGGAAACCAUCUGGCUAGAGUCCGGAAGAGGCGAGUGGAAUUCCUGGUGUAGCGGUGGAAUGCGCAGAUAUCAGGAGGAACACCGAUGGCGAAGGCAGCUCGCUGGGACGGUACUGACGCUGAGGCGCGAAAGCGUGGGGAGCGAACAGG
rnacentral:rRNA from 1 species